UACGAAGGGGGCGAGCGUUGUUCGGAUUUACUAGGCGUAAAGGGCGCGCAGGCGGCCAUUCAAGUCAGACGUGAAAUCCCCAGGCUUAACCUGGGAACUGCGUCGGAUACUGGUUGGCUUGAAUCCGGGAGAGGGAUGCGGAAUUCCAGGUGUAGCGGUGAAAUGCGUAGAUAUCUGGAGGAACACCGGUGGCGAAGGCGGCAUCCUGGACCGGCAUUGACACUGAAAAGCGAAAGCCAGGGGAGCAAACGGG
rnacentral:rRNA from 1 species